UUUAUCGGAGAGUUUGAUCCUGGCUCAGGACGAACGCUGGCGGCGUGCCUAAUACAUGCAAGUCGAGCGAACAGAUGGGAGCUUGCUCCCUGAUGUUAGCGGCGGACGGGUGAGUAACACGUGGGUAACCUGCCUGUAAGACUGGGAUAACUCCGGGAAACCGGGGCUAAUACCGGAUGGUUGU
rnacentral:rRNA from 1 species